GAAUUGCGAUAAGUAAUGUGAAUUGCAGAAUUCAGUGAAUCAUCGAAUCUUUGAACGCACAUUGCGCCCGCCAGUAUUCUGGCGGGCAUGCCUGUUCGAGCGUCAUUUCAACCAUCAAGCCCCCGGCUUGUGUUGGGGACCUGCGGCUGCCCGCAGGCCCUGAAAAACAGUGGCGGGCUCGCUGUCACACCGAGCGUAGUAGCAUACAUUCUCGCUCAGGGCGUGCUGCGGGUUCCGGCCGUUAAACGACCUUCAUAACCCAAGGUUGACCUCGGAUCAGGUAGGAAGACCCGCUGAACUUAAGC
rnacentral:misc_RNA from 1 species